UUUAGACCAAAUCCAUUCAUCGUGGGGGAGCACAGAAGAAUCGAGAGGUGGAAGAAUAUUUGGAAAAGAAAAAGGGAAAUAGAAGAUGGCGGCCAAUCAUGGUGAUUGAAGGAAAUUGUCUAUUAUAUCUCGUGGUUCUCCAGUUCUUCUUCUAUUUCAAUAGGUAAAAAAGGAAUUAGUGUUUAAAGUUAAGCAUUUUAUAGGGAUUAGUUUGUUUUAAGACUUUAUUUAUUUUAGGUGUGAUUUUUGGUUUUUUUUUUUUAUCCAUACCUGAAUUUCAAGAAUUAGAAAGUAAGUGGAAUUUGGGUUGAAGGUGUGAGAAACGAGAAUUAAAUGGGAAAUGGGUUUGAUGUUAUUGACUUUAAUCAUUGAUUAUGUGUUCAUAAUUUUCCAAUUACUUGAACAAUAUGGGUUUAUAUUAGUGUGAGGAGGAAUUUUCGUUUUAGACAACUAGAUGGGAUGGCCUUUAUGUGAACAAGUGGCUGUCUGGGUACCAUCAAGCAAGAAUUUUGGACUUCUCUUUUAGGCUUCUUUUCAGCUUGAACAAGGCUUUAUGAUGGGUUUUGGUUUCAAUCAAGCGAAUAUGAUACUUACUGAAAUAUAUAGGUGUUUUCGUGGAUUGGAAGUGAAACAAAGGAAACAAGUUUGGAGUUUAUAGAAGAUGUCCACUUGUUUAUGUUAUCUAUUUUUAGAAAAGGAAGAACUAUGAAAGAAAUAAAGAAUAAAAAUAGAGGAAUACAAGUAAGAUGGGUAUAUGUUAUUCACGACCAAUAUGAAUUCAUGCAAUUUUAUUGUUAUUUCAGGACGAGGUAGCGAGGAUAUUCGGAAAGCAAAAUGUCUAGAUUAGCAUGCAGCCUCUAACUCUGUGAGUGGAAAAAUAAAAAUAUUUUUAAAGUAUUUAUAAGUUAAGUAUAUUAUCAAAGUAUGUGCAAUUAUGUCUUCGAUUAUAUGAUUAUUAUGAAAAUCUAUUUUAUUAUGAUACAUGUGGAAUCUCAAAGAUUAUCUAUGGCAUAUUUGUAAUUUGGUAUGUGAGACAUGUGAUAUUGAGAUUUGUUUGGUAUGUAAAAUUUGUGAUCUUGAGAUCGACCAAAAAAGUAUUCAUGAUUCUAGUUCAUAAAGAGGCCUUGACCGUGUUCUAUCCUACACGAAGGGGUUUUGACCUGACAUUGGUAUUGAUCGUGUACAUAUGGUUCACAGAGGGGCUUUGGCCAUGUUCUAGAAUUGAUUACCAAAUGUCACGAGAUCCGCUUUUGUUCACGGAGGGAGCCAAAGGCUCGUGGCGAAAGUACUUAGCCCGAGGGGGCGGAUUACAUAUUUUAAUCAGAGAGUACAUUUUUUGUGGAUCACAUGUGAUGUGAUGAGAUGAUGGCAUAGAUAUCAGCAGAUGGCUAUAUUGUGAUUAUGAGAUGAUAUUUACAGUGUUAUGAGAAUGUUUCACUUUUUGUCUAUGAUUGUACGAGGCUAUCAUGUGAAAUAUUAAAUGAUAUGAGCUUGAUAUUUGAUAAAAAUGUUUAAAGGAGAAAAUAUAAUUUUUUUUUAACUCUUCCACUCAUUGGGCUAUCAACUCAUUUUUUUUUUCCACGAUUU
rnacentral:lncRNA from 1 species